GUAUGUAGAGGUCCUGCCUCUGUAUGUUCUCUGUGGCUUUUCCACCUUGUCGUUUCUGGGUGAUCUCAUUUCUUAAUCUAAUUCUGGUGCUUCUUCUUGCGGCUUAAACAGUUACAAUCAAGGGUUGGCAUCUGAAGGUUCAUCCCUAUUGCUGCUCUGUGUAGUUAAUCUACCUUGUGCUUUCUGGAGCUUUUGAUUUCCUCACUUACUUCUGGGAUUACGCGGUUUAAUCUAUUGUGAUCAAGAUGUCAACCUCUAUGCUCAAAGAUAUACACCCCCGGAGUAGACACUGGGUUGUCUGUACCCGAGUCUCAAGAAUGU